rnacentral:tRNA from 1 species
GCGCGAUUAGCUUAGUGGUAGAGCGCUCGCUUCACACGCGAGAGGUCAGUGGUUCGAACCCACUAUCGCGCA